GGAGCGACAGAGAAGUACACUACAGGGGAAAUCAGCAAGGGGAAGGAGAGGCCCGGGAACGCAGCAGGGCGAGUUGUUUUGCAUCACUCGUCCGGGAAGCCCUAGAUGCAGGGGUCCAGGGUCCAGACUGCGUUAAAGUAACGUUCUUUUCUCCCCGGGCGCGCCCUGUCUUCCUGGGCAUUCCUUGCACUUUCUGUUCGCUUUGCAGAGAGAUCUGAGCUUCGCUCUUUCCCAGGUCGGACACUCGCAGCUCCGUUCCCGGACUGGGGCUCCCUGCCGUCCAGGGUCGAGUCUGGGGGCCAGGACCUGCAGGGAUGACGUGAGUUGAGGAGGCUCAGCGGAAAGCGACAGGAACGGUGGGUGGAAAAGGAAAGGGCCCAGUAGACGAAUCUGAUUUAUCUUCUGUGACUAAGCGCCCGCAACAGACAGUAAGCUCUCUGAAGUUAAGAAGCAUAGUUUUUUUGUUCACUACUGUAUACUCAGCACCUAAUAGUACUUGGCACAUGGGAACUGUUUGUCAAAUGCAAGAGCGUACGCCCCAAAAGUGGGAGUCAGGAAAACCAGAAAAAAUGCCUUUAAGUAUUACAGAAAUGCCACAGGCCUCCACUUAAAUUGAAAAGCAAGCUGACACCUCUUGAUAAAAAUGUGGAUUGAGAUCAAUAAGCAGCUUCUCCACUCCUUCUGGAAUCUCCACCUGGUUCAGCCUACCUGCCUCCACCAUGUCCAUCAGGGUGACCCAGAAGUCCUAUAAGGUGUCCACCUUUGGCCCAGGCUUUCAGCAGCUGCCUCUGUAUAAGUGGGUCCAGUGCCUGCACCAGCUCCUCGAACUUCUCUCCCUAGUGGGGAGCAGAAGCUUCCGGGGUGGCCUGGGUGGAGGCUAUGGUGGGGCCAGCAGCAUGGGAGGUAUCACCACCAUCACGGUCAACCAGAGCCUGCUGAGCCCCCUUAACCUGGAGGUAGACUCCAACAACAUCCAGGCUGUCCACACCCAGGAGGAGAGGCAGAUCAAGACCCUCAAGUGUGCCUCCUUCAUAGACAAAGUACAGUUCCUGGAGCAGCAGAACAAGAUGCUGGAGACCAAGUGGAGCCUUCUACAGCAGCAGAAGAUGGCUGGAAGCAGCGUGACAACAUGUUCGGGAACUGUAUCAACAACCUUCGACAGCAGCUGGAACCAGGAGAAGUUGAAGCUGGAAGCGGAGCUUGGCAACAUGCAGGGGCUGGUGGAGGACUUCAGGAACAAGUAUGAGGAUGAGAUCAAGAAGCGUACAGAGGUGAAUGAAUUUGUCCUCAUCAAGAAGGAUGUAGAUGAAACUUACAUGAACAAGGUAGAGCUGGAGUCUCAGCUGGAAGGGCCGACUAUAUGAAGUGGAGAUCCAGGAGCUGCAGUCCCAAAUUUCCAACAUGUCUGUGGUGCUAUCCGUGGACAACAGCUGCUCCCUGGACAUGGACAGCAUCAUUGUUGAGGUCAAGACGCAGCACGAGGAGGUUGCCAACCGCAGCUGGGCUGAGGCUGAAAGCACGUACCAGAUCAAAUAUUUGGAGCCGCAGAUGCUGGCUUGGAGGCACGGGGAUGACCUGCGGCAUACAAAGACUUGAGAUCUCCAAGAUGAACGGAACAUCAGCCAGCUCCAGGCUGAGAUUGAGGGCCUCAAAGGCCAGAGGGCUUCCCUGGAGGCCGCUGUCACAGAUGCUGAGCAGCGUGGGGAGCUGGCCAUUAAGCAUGUCAAUGCCAAACUGUCCAAGCUAGAGGCCACACUGCAGCGCGUGAGUACCGGGAGCUGAGGAAUGUCAACUUGGCCCUGGACAUGGAGAUCGCCACCUACAGAAAGCUGCUGGAGGGCUAGGAGAGCUGGCUGGAGUCUGGGAUGCAGAACAUGAGAAUCCACACAAAGACAACCAGCGGCUAUGCAGGUGGUCUGAACUUGGCCUAUGUGGAUCUCACAAGCCCUGGCCUUAGCUAUGGCCUGGGCUCCAGCUUUGGCUCUGGCGCAGGCUCCAGUUCCUUCAGCUGCACCAGCUCCACCAGGGCCGUGGUUGUGAAGAAGAUCGAGACCCGUGAUGGGAAGCUGGUGUCUGAGUCCUCUGACUUCCUGCCCAAGUGAACAGCUGUGGCAGCCCCUCCUAGUCUGCUCCUCCUGUGGCUGCCACAGACUUUGGGAGGGAGGCUGCUGUGUGGGGGAGCACACGGAACAGGAGACCCCCCCUGAGGCUCAGCCCACCUGCAGGGGAGUUUACCGCCUGGGGGCCCCCCCUUGCCCAUGCUUCCAGCUACAAAAUUCAACUGCUUUUUUUUUUCCUUUCUUUUUUUUGGUCCAAAAUAAAACCUCAGCUAGCUCCAACACACACACACACAGAAAAAAAAAUUGUAGAUUGAGUCGUUAUUGCUUCUAGUUUACUGAGUUCCUUCUAUUAAUAUAAAUUCUUGAUUUGGUAUCAUGCUCAUUCUGGGGUGAAAAGUUUAGGGAAUAAAUCAGACAUACAUUUCAGGGAAAAACCCCCUGUGUAUUUAAAAGUAGUUGUGACACACUCUGUUAAACAAUUAUCCUUAAUUAUAAUUCUUAGGUAGUCUAUUGGCUUAAAUUAUUACUUGAAAUUGUCACUACUCGUUUGCCAAGUUUAUGUGUUUAGUGUCUGUAUUUCCGGAUCUUCCCAGAUAGAAGAUACAUAAUUUAUCAAAUGGGCAAAGAAGUCCUUCAGGGAGUUGGUAAUAGCUCUACAUGCUGAUUGGUAAUUGAAUUAGCAAGAUAUAGUAGAUCUAACUGAUUAGGAGGUUUCAAUUUUACUUGCUGGACUAAGGAAGUAAAAUGCAGAAUUAUUAAUAACCAUUUCAAUAUUAUCUUAAUUUGGGAUGUGAUAAAUUACCACAAACUGAGUGGCUUAAACAACAAACACUUCUCACAGUUAGGGAGGACCUGAAGUCCAUUAUUAAGGUAGAUCUGGUAUGUGGUGAGAAUUCACUUCCUGGUUUGGAGAUGGCUAUCUACGUAUUGUAUCCUUGUAGGUUGGAUAGUAGCCAGGAAGCAAGCUCUCAUUUCUCUUAUACAGGCACUAAUCCCAUUCACGAGGGCUUCACCCUCAUAACCUAAUUACUUCCCUCAAACCUCACCCUUAACGCCAUCACAUGGGGGUUAAGAUUUCAACAUAAAUUUUGGGGAAACACAAACAUUUAGUUCAUGACUAACACAGACUAUUUAACAAAGACACUUUUUUGUGUAUAUGAAGUAUAGUUGUUAUAACCAAACACCAGAAAACCUAUUCUGUAUCUGAGACCUGUUUUGCAAUAGGCUAUUUGGUGUUAGGUAACGAUCUCCUGACUUGUAAUCACUCCUGGUAUUGGGAAAGUCUAAAAUAUUAUGGAGAUACUUGCUUUCAGUGUGUCAUGAAAUUCUCUUCGAGUCACUUUCUGAAUAGAGAAACUCUGUUCUGCAACAGACAUUUGUGAAAGGAUUUGUGAAGACUUACACAGGAUUUUGGUUGAUCAAAUGCAGUCUCAAAAAUAAUUAUAAUUGUGAGUUAAGCAGUUUAGACUCUUCUCAUGAUACAUGCAUUAAACUGAAGAUUAUAGAAA